UACGUAGGGCGCAAGCGUUAUCCGGAAUUAUUGGGCGUAAAGAGCUCGUAGGCGGUUUGUCGCGUCUGCCGUGAAAGUCCGGGGCUCAACUCCGGAUCUGCGGUGGGGUACGGGGCAGACUGAGAGUGGAUGUAGGGGAGACUGGAAUUCCUGGUGUAGCGGUAGAAAUGCGCAGAUAGUCAGGAGGAACACCGAUGGCGAAGGCAGGCUGCUGGGCAUUAACUGACGCUGAGGAGCGAAAGCAUGGGGAGCGAACAGG
rnacentral:rRNA from 1 species